AAAAGAGAAGGCAGGGAAUGUGAAGAGGUGAGUUCUCCUUUUCAUUCUUUCCCCUGUGAAUGUUUACUGCCCCUCCUAACCCUUUUAUUCUCUGCCCCCUCUCUCUCUCUCUCUCUCUCUCUUCCUAAAAAUAGUAACUCUGGGGAAAAAAAAAAAAAAAAAGAUACUACGGGAAGUUCAGUUAGUAGAAAAUCAGGGAUGGCCAGGGAUCUAGGAAAAAUCGAAGAAGGUUAAAGCGGAGAGAGAGAGCCAGGUUGGCAGAUGUGAAGGGGACGAUACGAAGAGUGCAAGAGAAAGGACAGAGAGGAGGCAGAAGCAACCCGGGAGAGGAGAAAGGAGGGGAGGGAAGGAUGGAUGAAAGCGAGCAAGGGACGAAGCAAGGAGGCAGGCAGCGUUAGGCAGAUCCAUUCAGACACAGAGCAAGAAAAUGGAAAAAAGCACCUCAACAUUUAUUGCACUCUUGCUCCUGACUUCUUAAAUACCCACAAAAUGAUUCAAAUCUGCUGCCUGGACACAUGACAGGGCUUGGAGGGAACAAACACCACAAGGAUUUUUUUUGUAUAUGUUUGAAGGCUCAUUUAAAAUUACAUUGACAUUUACAUAGGUUCUGAACU